rnacentral:rRNA from 1 species
UACGAAGGGGGCUAGCGUUGCUCGGAAUCACUGGGCGUAAAGGGUGCGUAGGCGGGUCUUUAAGUCAGAGGUGAAAGGCUACGGCUCAACCGUAGUAAGCCUUUGAAACUGGGAAACUUGAGUGCAGGAGAGGAGAGUGGAAUUCCUAGUGUAGCGGUGAAAUGCGUAGAUAUUAGGAGGAACACCAGUUGCGAAGGCGGCUCUCUGGACUGUAACUGACACUGAGGCACGAAAGCGUGGGGAGCAAACAGG